GUGUUGUCGUGAACCAUACAUAAUCAUGUAAGGUCACGAAUUAUCUGAAUUCUGAAUCACAUUCCAAAACUGAAAUGUGUCAUAGUUAUAUGAAAUACCUAUGGGGCAAAAUACCCACAAAUGGGCAACGUGCCCAUAGCUGUCUAAAUAUAGGGUAAAAAACCAACGAUGUUAGAAUAUGUGAUUAGAAUGUUUUAUAGUUAUAUGAAUACCUAUGGGGCAAAAUACCCACAAAUGGACAACGUGCCCAUAGCCGUCUGAAUAUAGGGCAAAAAGCCCACGAUGUUUGAAUAUGGGGUGAAACCCCGCGAAUGGCCUCCAACCGCCCCUUACAGCCAUCCCUGUCCAC